UUAGCCAAAAGAGGAGAAUCUGUCACUCUACACACUGAGAGUCAAGUACAGAGAGACAGUGAGAUCCAGUGGAUCUUAGAUGAUAACACCAUUCUGGUCACUGGAAAGAAUUGAGAAGACGGAGAGAGCCGAUAUACAGAUGAUGAGAGAUUCACAGACAGACUGAAGAUGAACCCUGACACUGGAGAUCUCACCAUCACACACAUCACAACUGAACACAAUGGAGUUUAUAAACUACAGCAGAUCAACAGUGAUGGAAAGAUCCCGUACAGAAUGUUCAGCGUUUGUGUCAUUGACAGUGCUCAUGGAACAGCGUUGAACGAUCAAAAAUCAGGCUGAAGAGGAAUCCGUGAGGAUGAAUCAGCAAUAGGAUUCCUCUUUUGAAUGCAAAAGACGAUGUUUGAUCAGCUUAUAGAUGCUCAGCAUCACAAGUGUGUACCAUCUGUUACAUCAUCGACAUCUGCAGUAACAAAUCUAUUUUACUGCAUUCAUGGUCCGUCCUGUAUAAGCGUUUGAAAGCUGAAGUUACAAGAUAUUUGAUAAACGGCAAACUUUAGAUGUUUUAUAUUUAAUAUCGGUUACUCACUGCAUAGCAUAUGAUCAGUUUGACUCUCAUGUGUUUGAUGUUGUGUGAUUGUUAACAGUAUUGAUUUAAUAUCUGAUGAAU